AGAGAGCUGAGAUCGAGAGGUACUUGAGAAGGUUGAAGAUGGAGCCUUUAGCGUCUUCAGUCAAGGAGGAGAUCGAUCAUGUCAUCACAGCUCUACGAGACGGUCCUGUCUUCUCUAUCUACGGGCUGUUUGUUCUCGACCGUCACUGCUUCCUGUCGAUUGCCAGCUUCGUCACCACCUAUGUGGUGAUCGCGUACCAGCUGGAAAUGAGCGAAACAGCGAGACCAUCUGCGUGCAACGCUUCCCUCCAGGCGUGACCACCUGUCUGUGGUGAUGCCCACCACCACCAGCUGGUCAAGAGUUCUUGAUCCAGGGAGCCGGAGGUCUCUACUUGGGGGUUACACCGUGACCCAGACGGGUUUAGCGCUUCUCCGUGAGAGGGUAGUUA